AUCAUAUUACGUGCGGAAAUUGUUACCAUUUUCGGCUCAAAAAUGGUAACAAUUUCCGCACGUAAUACAAA
rnacentral:miRNA from 1 species